UACGUAGGGUCCGAGCGUUGUCCGGAAUUAUUGGGCGUAAAGUGCUCGUAGGCGGUUUGUCACGUCGGGAGUGAAAACUCGGGGCUUAACCCCGAGCCUGCUGCCGAUACGGGCAGACUAGAGGUAGGCAGGGGAGAGCGGAACUCCUGGUGUAGCGGUGGAAUGCGCAGAUAUCAGGAAGAACACCGGUGGCGAAGGCGGCUCUCUGGGCCUUACCUGACGCUGAGGAGCGAAAGCGUGGGUAGCGAACAGG
rnacentral:rRNA from 1 species